UUAUCAGGUACCUAAGCAAUUGGCGGAGAGGCUCUCUCUGCUUAGAUUGGUGUAUGAACGGUGAACAAAGAACCAAGGGGGAUAGAUGUGACGCCACACAGCUGAUGGAGAGGCUGUGAUAAGUCGGUGAACUCAAGAACAAAGGGGAAUCCACUCAGUGUUCAAGAACUCAAAGAAGAGGUGGCUGCUCUUACGAAAAUGCGUUCUUUUAUUGAUUAGAGUAAAAUAGUGUGUCUUACAAUGCCGCAUGUGAGACUUAUAAAUAGUCCUUCGGCCUUGACCUUCUAGGGUCGACAGAGACUUAAGAAAAAGAAAGAAAACUUGUGACAGACUCUUGUAAAAGUAAAUAAAACAGAAUGGAAAAAAUACUAAAGUUCUCGGCUAAAUUAAAAAGGAAACAUAACAAAAGGGCCUUAAAACAAAUUCUGCAAAACAACGAGAGGGAAACUCGUUAGUUUAAAUAUAAUUAAACCAAACACUCACCUUGGUGUCGUUUUGACACUUAGUCAUUUCCUCAAUAGUGAAGAUCAUGCGAGCUCCUUGGAUCCUUAGUAGUGGCCAUUCCAAUGUUGGUGUGGACUUGAUGCUUGUGUCGUCUUGAUCUUCAUGCCAGUCUUAGUCCUUCCUCAAGUUGUUCCUCCUCUUGAAUAAUUAGCAUCUUAUCCUCGGUUAAGUUCAUUGCUACUUGAUUGAGAAGUGGCUGAUCGAUGCUGAGUUUAUCAAUGCCUUUGGUAGAUCAAGGUGUCCAUAGCAUUAUUGAAUUCUUCUCUCAGCUUCCUUAGCCCUGAUCUUGUCUUUGGAGGGUUCUUCAUGGUUGGAAAAGGGUUUUUAGGGGCCAUGUCUUCAUCAGAGUUAGCCAAGUUAAUUUGAUAAUUGUGGUCAAAGUUG
rnacentral:lncRNA from 1 species